rnacentral:rRNA from 1 species
GUCUACGGCCAUGUCACCCUGAAUAAGCCCGAUGUCUGAUCUCGGAAGCUAAGCAGGGGCGGGCCUGGUUAGUACUGGGAUGGGAGACCACUAAGGAAGACCAGGUGCUGUAGGCA